UCGAAACAAACAACCAGGAUCUGCAAACAAGGGCUGAGGAGCUUUCCAAACUAUUUCAAAUUAAUUGGACGGAUGACGUGUCUUCCAAUGCCUUAAGAACACUUCAUGAGGCUAAGCAGAACAGUCAGAAAGAACUGUUGCCAUUGGCAAAUGAUGUCAAAGUAAUGUCUGAAUACUUACGACAUAAAGCAGAAACACAUGCAAAUACCUUACAAGAAUCAGCAAGUAAUUGCGAGAAAAGGCAAGCAUGGCAUAAGUUGUCUGAAAGCUGCUUGUGUUUAAUCGAAACGAUCAGGCGAUGUGUCAAAAAUGACAGUCGAAGAAUAUUAAAAAAACAAAUCGACAAAUGACGAUGGAGAAUUAGAUGGAUGUUUAACAAAACUGGAAAAAAACCUGUGCCGUUAUUUUUACCGUACAGAGAUUAUUGCAAAACGAGGUCGAAAUAGCUGCAGUACUGUUUCCAAGACAGGUGAAAGAAAAUAUCGACCUGCUCAUACGCAGCAGAAAUUCUCUAACAAACUGUUUAAAUAGUAAAUAUCUUUUCCCAACAAAAUCUGCAUCAUCGCCUAUUCGUGGGACAGAUGUAUUACGUUCAAUUGCAAUUGACUGUGGAGCUGAACAUCCGAAAAGGCUUCGUUCUACAAAGUUAAGGAAACAUAUUGCCACAAUGACUCAGCUUUUUAACUUGUCUGAAAAUGAAAUAGACAUUCUAGCUAAAUUUCUUGGUCACGACAUUCGGGUACAUAGAGAAUUCUACAGAUUACCAGAUGGAACCAUGCAGGUUGCCAAAGUCAGCAAGCUGCUUAUGAUGAUGGAAAGUGGACAAAUUACCAGAAAUUCUGUCAAUUUGCUAGACGAUAUUGAUGUGGACGACGAAUGUAUUGUAGAAAAUGAAAAUACUGAAGACCUUGAAACUCUGCUUCCCAGCACCAGUCAACCAAAAAUAACAGACAAAGAAAAGGGUACUUCAAAUACCAGAAGAACAAAACAAGCAGCCAAAAAGCAACGGAGUGAAGACGAAAACAGGAGCUGUUCACAGACACUUAGAUCGUUUUUUGAUAAUUGGUAAAUUACCAGGGAAAAAAUCAUUACUUGCAUGUAUUGAAAGUGAGAAUGACCUUCACAACAGAAGUUGGAAAAAUGUCAAAGACUUUUGCAUAAAUUUAAUUGAAACAAAAAAGCGACGGGGACUUUUAACUUAAAAAAAUAUAACUCAUAUAAUGCACAUUUAGGAGAAUACGUUAAAGGAUGAAGUUGCCACAUGUGUUUUGUGUGUUUUCUUGUUCUAUAUACUCUUUUCGAAAACGAUAUAUGUGUGCUUAUUGUAUUUGAAUGUUUUAUUAAUACGGUUCAGUCAAACACGAUAUUUGUUCAUAAUCAUAUCGCCGAACCAAUUAGGAUUGGUAUAUAGUUCGGCCAAAGAGUGUUUCUUUGUACUUUCAAUUACGAGUUUCUACGAGUUACUCACUAUACAAGUUAUUUUUUACCCCAAACUUGGUGAAUAUGAAUGAAUAUAGCAAACAUGAUAGCAAAUCAAUCUAGAAGGCUAAACGUUCAGAGAAGGCACAAAAAAAUUCAGUCGGAUAAAUGGAAACAAACAUUUUGUUCAAGCAUAACAAACAAACACUUUUAGAUAUAAUAAGAUAAAUGUAAAUAACAUAAAAAAACUACUGCUAAACUACUACUACAAUGUGAAGAAUACAAAUGAAUAUUUUGUCAAUUUUACAAAAUUUGUUUUGAAUGACAGGUGUCUGACUUGCAGUUGAGUACUUAAUAGUUAUUUUAAAGUAAAAUUUUACCAAUAUGUAAAUUAUUGCGUAAAUAUCGCACUAGAAUUGAUUAAAUAGUUGUUAAAUAUUACAAUAAUUUCCUACACAGACUUUUGUGCAUUUGUUUUGCGUGUAGAUAUUCACAUUAACUAUCAAUUCACAUAUUUGCUUUGUGUAUAUAAUUGGUAUGUUCAGUAUUGAGUCACACUGUUAUAAUUUCCCUGUUGGUACAUAUUAUUUUUAAGUUGGCACCAACAAGGGUCUAACAAUUGAUUCAAAUGUGCACUCCCCAGUAAGUAUAUAAACUAUAAUGUAAAUGAUGCAAAAUAAUAUUAAACUACGUGUUUGAUAAGUGUUUGCUUUGGUACAUAUUUAAUUAUUAGUGUUUUUAUAAAAUGAUAAUGCUGUCAAAGUCAGCGGUGAUUAUACGUGUAUAACAACAUUAAUUAUAACUUUUAUAUUGUUUUCAACAAAUAAUAUAUGGUUGACACAUCGGCAUAAAUUUUCAGUGCUUAAAAUACACUCUUUCUAUCAUAUUUUAUGCAAAAAUUAGGUACACAAGUUGGUUUACAUAAAGGUAGUUUGAACAAAAUACGUGAAUUCAAAUCUUAAAAAAGGUGUUUGGUUUGCAAUGGAAAACUAAGCGAUUCCAGUGACUAUUUUCCUUAAAAUAUAAUCUGUUAUUUCGACAGGUAGAAUUUAAUGUAAGUUCAUUAUUAACGUUAACCCGUUUUUGGCAUUCUCUACUCAAACAAGUACAUACAUACUGUAUAUUUUUAAUACAGCACAUGCGUAAUGGUAUCACAGUUGUAGAAUUGGAAUUCAUAUAUUAUAACAAUAAAUACUGAUCAUUAUUCAGAUUGACCUACCGCCGUAGACUAAGUCACUGGCGCAUCAAAAUGCAUUGUUAGCAAGUCGCUUUGCUAGUUUACUAAACUAUUUUGUUUCUCAGGCCUCGCCACAUUCGUUGUGAAACGUUCAUGAUUGUUUAAAGCUACAGAUUUUAUUAUUUUUGAAAAUGCAAUAAAUGUAUUUAAGACAAUUUAAGUGAAGUGGAAGUUGCCAUGCGUGUGAAUGAAUUUUCUGAUGUUUACCUGUUUCAGGGGAUUAAAUGCAUGAGUUAUUUUAUAAUGUCAGAGUAAGGACAAAGUAAAUUUACACUUCUCAAUCUACAUGCUUAUGGGCAGUUCUACUUUUAGGAUAAAAAACUUCAUAGUACGUGAACAUCGUGAAUAUUUUUUUCUGAUGGAAAAAAGGAAUUAAACAAAUAAGCCGCCUCCCCCUCUCCUUCAUUCGGUUUGACAAAUAGCGUGGCCUAAAACAAAAAACAUUAUUUUUUAGUUUUAAGAACGAAUUGUAUUCAUUUGUUGAUUAAUUCACCAUGAUUGUUAUGGUAUAAUGCAGCACUUGCAUGUUUGUAGUCGGCUUAUAGCUAAUAAAGUCAUAAAUGUAUUGUUUGAUUUGCGUUAUGUCUCGUAUGCUUAUUUUGAUGUGAAUAAUAUUUGAGUCAAUCAAAUGAGGCAUUUUUGCAGAACUUAUAUAAGGUCAUAUAAUAAACAUAUUUAAUUUAAAUAUUGUUUCAUACAUAUUCUUUUCAAUUUUUGUACUAACUUAAAUAUUAUCCAUGAACGUGCACGCCAUUGUCCUAUCAACAACGGUACCAUGAUUACACACAAUUACCCCUGUUGGUAAACGCAAGUUCCCCGUUGGACAUUAUUGAAGUUCCACAGGGAUAGCGCGCUUAAGUUC